UCCGGUGUGGUGUAGUGGUUAACAUCGGUGCUUUUCAAAAGAAAAUAAAUUUACGUAAUCGCACUAGCCCGGGGUUCGAUUCCCCGCUCCGGAA